AUUGGUUGAAAAUCCCUCAUGGCUAUGCCUGUGACCCUGGGAGAGAUGUGGCCCCCAGAACCAGUGAGGCCUCAGUUCUCCCCUGACUACCAGCAGUGGGGACGUGAGACUCAGAUUUAAACAUGU